GGAGUUGACUGGGUAGUCGCUGCUUCAUUGAUGUCCUUUGGGAGACUGGUGAAGGGGAGGAAAGUCCGGGCUCCAUAGAGCAGGGUGCCAGGUAACACCUGGGGGGCGUGAGCCCACGACAAGUGCAGCAGAGAGAAAACCGCCGAUGGCCUUUGGGCACAGGUAAGGGUGAAAGGGUGCGGUAAGAGCGCACCGUGCGUCUGGCAACAGUUCGUAGCAAGGUAAACUCCACCCGGAGCAAGACCAAAUAGGCUUCCAUAUUGCGCUGCUCGCGUAAGGAAGCGGGUAGGUUGCUUGAGCCAGUGAGCGAUUGCUGGCCUAGACGAAUGGCUACUGCCGUGCAAACGGUACAGAACCCGGCUUAUGUGUCAACUCCUCCC
rnacentral:RNase_P_RNA from 1 species